AUGGCCGGUGGUGCAGGCCGAACGGAGGGAGGAGGAGGCACGGCCGCUGACAAGCCUGGGGCGCCGGACCACUGUAGCGGUGGGUCGAGAGGCCAGGGAGACCCUGGAAGGGUCGAGGUCGCCGGCGGUCUGGAUCGCCGGAGCGGCGCGGCGGUUCCUGGUGGUGCGGAGGAGCCAUGGAGGCGAUGCAGACGAUGGAGAUAG
rnacentral:rRNA from 1 species